rnacentral:lncRNA from 1 species
CAAGUUUAGCGACUCCUACACUUGCGACCCGUGAAUACAUACAUACAUACAUACGUACGUACCAUCAUAAUCAACAUUAAAAAAUAUGUUACAUUAGCAUAUAAAAAUCAGCUCACAGCGUUCUAGUGGCUUCUGUUGAUGUUUACUGUUAUGGCUGCCUCCUUUCCAGAAACUUCCCAGAACCCCUUUUUAACCGUUGGAUCUUAACCAUUGACACGCGUACGGCCAGCAGUUCACC